rnacentral:rRNA from 1 species
CGUGUAGGCGGGAAAACAAGUCAGAUGUGAAAACUGUGGGCUCAACCCACAGCCUGCAUUUGAAACUGUUUCUCUUGAGUACUGGAGAGGCAGAUGGAAUUCCUAGUGUAGCGGUGAAAUGCGUAGAUAUUAGGAGGAACACCAGUGGCGAAGGCGAUCUGCUGGACAGCAACUGACGCUGAGGCGCGAAGCGUGGGAGCAAACA